GCGGAUGUGACGGAAUUGGUAGACGUGCUGGUUUUAGGAACCAGUGCCGCAAGGCGUGGAGGUUCAAGUCCUCUCAUCCGCA
rnacentral:tRNA from 1 species